rnacentral:rRNA from 1 species
UACAGAGGUCCCAAGCGUUGUUCGGAUUCAUUGGGCGUAAAGGGUGCGUAGGCGGCGCGGUAAGUCGGGUGUGAAAUCUCGGGGCUUAACUCCGAAACUGCAUUCGAUACUGCCGUGCUUGAGGACUGGAGAGGAGAUUGGAAUUCACGGUGUAGCAGUGAAAUGCGUAGAUAUCGUGAGGAAGACCAGUGGCGAAGGCGGAUCUCUGGACAGUUCCUGACGCUGAGGCACGAAGGUCAGGGGAGCAAACGGG